rnacentral:rRNA from 1 species
AGUGAACGCUGGCGGUAUGCCUAACACAUGCAAGUCGAACGGCAGCACAGUAAGAGCUUGCUCCUACGGUUGGCGACGGGCGGACGGGUGAGGAAUACAUCAGAAUCUACUUUUUCUUGGGGGACAUCGUGAGGAAACUUACGCUAAUACCUCAUACGAUCUACGGCUUAAAUCAGUAGUUCUUCGGACCUUUCGCGAUUCAAUUAGCCGAUGCCGGAUUUGAUAGUUGGCGGGGUAAAGGCCCACCAAGGCGACGCUCCGUAGCUGGUCUGAGAGGAUGAGCAGGCACACUGGGAAUGUGACACGGUCCAGACUCCUACGGGAGGAAGCAGUGGGGAAUAUUGGACAAUGGGCGCAAGCCUGAUCCAGCCAUACCGCGUGGGUGAAGAAGGCCUUCGGGUUUUAAAGCCCUUUUGUUGGGAAAGAAAAGCAGCAGGUUAAUACCCCGCUGUUCUGACGGUACCCAAAGAAUAAGCACCGGCUAACUUCGUG